CUACGGGAUGCAGCAGUAGGGAAUCUUCCGCAAUGGGCGAAAGCCUGACGGAGCAACGCCGCGUGAGUGAUGAAGGUCUUCGGAUCGUAAAACUCUGUUAUUAGGGAAGAACAAAUGCGUAAGUAACUGUGCGCGUCUUGACGGUACCUAAUCAGAAAGCCACGGCUAACUACGUGCCAGCAGCCGCGGUAAUACGUAGGUGGCAAGCGUUAUCCGGAAUUAUUGGGCGUAAAGCGCGCGUAGGCGGUUUUUUAAGUCUGAUGUGAAAGCCCACGGCUCAACCGUGGAGGGUCAUUGGAAACUGAAAAACUUGAGUGCAGAAGAGGAAAGUGGAAUUCCAUGUGUAGCGGUGAAAUGUGCAGAGAUAUGGAGGAACACCAGUGGCGAAGGCGACUUUCUGGUCUGUAACUGACGCUGAUGUGCGAAAGCGUGGGGAUCAAACAGGAUUAGAUACCCCGGUAGUC
rnacentral:rRNA from 1 species